AGCGGGGUAGGGCAGUCAGGAGUGCCCGAUGGGCUCAUAACCCAUAGGUCGGAAGUUCAAAUCUUCCCCCCGCUA
rnacentral:tRNA from 1 species